GUGGGGGAGGAGAGGAUGCCUGGUCUCACGGCUGUCCCACAGUGUUCCCUCAGGGUUCUUGUCCACGGUAGUGCACUAUAUAUAGAAUAGGGUGCUAGUUGGGACGCACCCUGUCCUGCUCUGCCCCGUACGGCAGCUUGGACUAACCUAUAAGGUAGAUGACGUUACGUUAGAUUACAGGUAACUAGGUUACGGGUUUGGGUUGUUCCAGAAAGCAGUAGGAGCUGUAGAAGCCUUCAUGGGCGUGGUAAUUGAAAAAGUGCGUCCCAAAUAUAUAUAUAUAUAUGCCAUUUAGCAGACGCUUUUAUCCAAAGCGACUUACAGUCAUGUGUGCAUACAUUCUACGUAUGGGUGGUCCCGGGAAUCGAACCCACUACCCUGGCGUUACAAGCGCCAUGCUCUACCAACUGAGCUACAGAAGGACCACCAAAUAUCUCUCUUCUCCCUAUAGAGUGCACUACUUUUGACCAGUGCCCUAUGGUCUGACAGGUACAGUUGAAGUCGUAAGUUUACGUACAUUUUAGCCAAAUACAUUUCAACUCAGUUUUUCACAAUUCCUGACAUUUAAUCAGAGUAAAAUAAAAUCUGUUUUAGAUCAGUUAGGAUCACCACUUUAUUUUAAGAAUAUCAAAUGUCAGAAUAAUAGUAGAGAGAAUGAUUUAUUUCAGCUUUUAUUUCUUUCAUCACAUUCCCAGUGGGUCAGAAGUUUACAUACACUCAAUUAAUAUUUGGUAGCUUUGCACUUAAAUUGUUUAACUUGGGUCAAGCAUUUUGGGUAGCCUUCCACAAGCUUCCCACAAUAAAUUGGGUGAAUUUUGGCCCAUUCCUCCUGACAGAGCUGGUGUAACUGAGUCAGUGGUUUGUAGGCCUCCUUGCUCACACACGCUUUUUCAGUUCUGCUCACACAUUUUCUAUAGGAUUGAGGUCAUGGCUUUGUGAUGGCAACUCCAAUACCUUGACUUUGUUGUCCUUAAGCCAUUUUGCCACAACUUUGGAAGUAUGCUUGGGGUCAUUGUCCAUUUGGAAGACCCAUUUUUGACCAAGCUUUAACUGAUGUCUUGAGAUGUUGCUUCAAUAUAUCCACAUAAUGUUCCUCCCUCAUGAUGUCAUCUAUUUUGUGAUGUGCACCAGUCCCUCCUGCAGCAAAGCACCCCCACAACAUGAUGCUGCCACCCCCAUGCUUCACGGUUGGGAUGGUGUUCUUCAGCUUGCAAGCCUCCCCCUUUUUCCUCCAAACAUAACCAUGGUCAUUAUGGCCAAACAGUUGUAUUUUUGUUUCAUCAGACCAGAGGACAUUUCUCCAAAAAGUACAAUAUUUUGCAGUAGCAAACCAUAGUCUGGCUUUUUAAUGACGGUUUUGGAGCAGUGGCUUCUUCCUUGCUGAGCAGCCUUUCAGGUUAUGUCGAUACAGGACUCGUUUUACUGUGGAUAUAGAUACUUUUGUACCUGUUUUCUCCAGCAUCUUCACAAGGUCCUUUGCUGUUGUUCUGGGAUUGAUUUGCACUUUUCGCACCAAAGUACGCUCAUCUCUAGGAGACAGAACACGUCUCCUUCCUGAGUGGUAUGACGGCUGCGUGGUCACAUGCUGUUUAUACUUGCAUACUAUUGUUUGUGCAGAUGAACGUGGUACCUUCAGGCGUUUGGAAAUUGCUCCCAAGGAUGAACCAGACUUGUGGAGGUCUACAAUUUUCUUUCUGAUGUCUUGGUUGAUUUCUUUUGAUUUCCCAUGAUGUCAAGCAAAGAGGCACUGAAUUUGAAGGUAGGCCUUGAAAUACAUCCACAGGUACACCUCCAAUUGACUCAAAUGAUGUCAAUUAGCCUAUCAGAAGCUUCUAAAGCCAUGACAUAUUUUUCUGGAAUUUUCCAAGCUGCUUAAAGGCACAGUCAAGUUAGUGUAUGUAAACUUCUGACCCACUGGAAUUGUGAUACAGUGAAUUAUAAGUGAAACAAUCUGUCUGUAAACAAUUGUUGAAAAAUGACUUGUGUCAUGCACAAAGUAGAUGUCCUAACCGACUUGACAAAACUAGAGUUUGUUUACAAGAAAUUUGUGGAGUGGUUGAAAAACACAUUUUAAUGACUCCAACCUAAGUGUCUGUAAACUUCUGACUGUGAGUUAUGUCCUCCUUAGACACGGGCCACUCCAUCUGUCUUUGUCCUAAAUGGUCUCUGUGAGGAUGCAGGUUUAAUGGUUUCUCUCUGUGAGGAUGCAGGUUUAAUGGUUUCUCUCUGUGAGGAUGCAGGUUUAAUGGUUUCUCUCUGUGAGGAUGCAGGUUUAAUGGUUUCUCUCUGUGAGGAUGCAGGCUUAAUGGUUUCUCUCUGUGAGGAUGCAGGCUUAAUGGUUUCUCUCUGUGAGGAUGCAGGCUUAAUGGUUUCUCUCUGUGAGGAUGCAGGCUUAAUGGUUUCUCUCUGUGAGGAUGCAGGCUUAAUGGUUUCUCUCUGUGAGGAUGCAGGCUUAAUGGUUUCUCUCUGUGAGGAUGCAGGCUUAAUGGUUUCUCUCUGUGAGGAUGCAGGCUUAAUGGUUUCUCUCUGUGAGGAUGCAGGCUUAAUGGUUUCUCUCUGUGAGGAUGCAGGCUUAAUGGUUUCUCUCUGUGAGGAUGCAGGCUUAAUGGUUUCUCUCUGUGAGGAUGCAGGUUUAAUGGUUUCUCUCUGUGAGGAUGCAGACUUAAUGGUUUCUCUCUGUGAGGAUGCAGGUUUAAUGGUUUCUCUCUGUGAGGAUGCAGGUUUAAUGGUUUCUCUCUGUGAGGAUGCAGGCUUAAUGGUUUCUCUCUCUGAGGAUGCAGGUUUAAUGGUUUCUCUCUGUGAGGAUGCAGGUUUAAUGGUUUCUCUCUGUGAGGAUCUCUUACUCUCUGUCUCCAGUGUCUUAACCCUGUCUGU